rnacentral:rRNA from 1 species
UACGGGGGGGGCAAGCGUUGUUCGGAAUUACUGGGCGUAAAGGGCUCGUAGGCGGCCAACUAAGUCGGACGUGAAAUCCCUCGGCUCAACCGGGGAACUGCGUCCGAUACUGGAUGGCUUGAGUUCGGGAGAGGGAUGCGGAAUUCCAGGUGUAGCGGUGAAAUGCGUAGAUAUCUGGAGGAACCCCGGUGGCGAAGGCGGCAUCCUGGACCGACACUGACGCUGAGGAGCGAAAGCCAGGGGAGCAAACGGG